rnacentral:rRNA from 1 species
UAGUCUGCAACCCGACUACAUGAAGCCGGAUCGCUAGUAAUCGCGGAUCAGAAUGCCGCGGUGAAUACGUUCCCGGGCCUUGUACACACCGCCCGUCAAGCCAUGGGAGCCGGGGGUGCUUGAAGUGCGUCGCCGCAAGGCGCGCCCUAGAGCAAAACCGGUGACUGGGGCUAAGUCGUAACAAGGUAAC